CAGUGGAGACCAGCUCCAAAGCAAAAAGUAGAAGAAGACAGUUUUGUCAUUCAGUGCGUGUCCCAGCAGACAUGGACGGGGCUCGCCAUCAAGCACUUUGGUGCAGAGCAAGGUCUAGCUAAGAAAACUCUUCAUUUGUCUUGAGUCGUCGCAACCCGACGGUUUUACACCAACGAUAUAGUCUGUGAUUACCAUGGAAAGGUAAUCACAGCGGCUGAAGGGAGGGCCAUAGUGCAGAGCCUGAACGACGAGCCUGGAUAUUGUUUCUUUUUCAAAGCUGGAGAAAGAGAACUGUGUGUAGAUUCACAGAAUUAUCCAUGCGAGAGCCACCCUCUUACAAACACUUUUGGCAGAAGAAUAAACCAUUCUUCAAAGAUGCCAAACCUUAAACCGUUCCAUUGCAAGAUGAAAAUUAAUGGGGAAGACAAGGAUAUAAUCUUAUUUAAAGCACUGAAGGACAUCACUGUUGGCACACAGCUCAAAUAUGACUAAAGAGAGGCUCUUACCGUGGAGAGGGCCUGAGUCUAGAAUGGCUCGACGAAUAAG